rfam:Dorea formicigenerans CAG:28 genomic scaffold, scf217
UGAUCUUUCUUAAGAGAGAGUCUUUACUAAAGAAGACCGCCGAAGAGGCAAGCCAAGGUAUGUUGGUGGACAUACCAGGGGUGAAACUUUCAGGCAAAAGGACUGAGAAAGGGAC